UACUUACUGCACAGAGUUUGGUCUGAUGGUUAAAGCCAUCAGCCACCUGGGUUGAGUGCUGACCCAGCCCUGGGCCAACCGUGUGACUCUCCCCAGCCUCAGAGGGCGUUGCUGGCCCCACUGCGGGCAUCGUUGGAGGAAUUGCCUGAGAUGAUGCAGGUGGAGCACCGACACAUAGCCAACAUCUAUUACAAUCUUCUUGGAUGGUCCUCUGGACUGCAGGACAGCAGCUUUCCAACAGGAGAGUGCACCAGAAUCCCUGGGUUGGCUUGUUACAACACAGAUGCGGGAUCCCAUCCUUGGAGUUUCUGAUUCAGUAGAUCUGGGUGGGACCUGAUAACCUGCAUUUCCAACAGUUCCCAGGUGACGCUGCUGCUGCUGACCCCGGGACCCCACUCUGAGAACCACCAAGGAAGACUUUCUGUAACUAAGAAAGAGAAACCACGAUCCCCCCUGAAAUGACGGGAUCAUAGCCCUCAUCUGACUUUCAGUUCCGCCCAGGAAGCAGGUGGGGAGGCCUUUGAGACUGAGCUAAUCAGGAUUCUUCCAGUUGAAAGUGUCAGAAACCCAAUUCACAUUCUCCUAGACACAAAGAGGAUUCAUCGGCUGGUAGAAUAUGCAGAAGAUUCCAAACUGAGGGAUGGGAAAACUUGUCAUCCUCUCAGGUGCUAUGGACUGGCCUGAGAGUUCCCUGACAUAAGACAGAUGAACAGGAGAGAAGCACGUGCUUUGCUUAAUAUUUUUACAUGGACAUAGGCGUCUUCAACAGGAAAAUGAAGCCCCCAGCAUACUCUUAGGGCCCAGAGCGUACGUGCCUUUUUACAUAAAGAAUGACAGGUUAUAUUACCUCCCUCACCCUUCUUG